GGAUCGCCUAGCAACAGCAAGUUUUCUUAAACAUUUUUUGUUAACAAUAUUAAAAAAAAAAGAAAGUUAAUUUAUAAAGAAAAAUAUAUAUUUUUUUUAAAGGAAAAGUACAGAAGAAAACUUUUGCUUUCUGUGAGAGGGAACUAAUUUUUUUAUAUUUGCAAGGCCAGAAUUGCUCCAGAUUGGUAUUAUUUUUAAUUUUUAUUAAAAUCGAAAUUCAAGGAUCAGAAUCUUAUUGCUGUUGGCUUUCAUUUCUUUCUUGUUGGAUUUGUUUCUAAGAUUGGUGCCAACUUUAAUGAUUGGCACCUAAUUAAAGAUCGAAAAGACAAAUUUCUGUCCACAAAGAAGCUGCAUAAUUAUAUUGAGCAGAGAGUAUAGUCUCAGUCAGUUUCGGCUUUUGGUUGUGUUGUGGAGUGAUAGUGGUUAAAAUUUUAAAUGAAAACAGCAAACAAAAUAAUAAAAAAAUAAAAAUAGAAAAAACAACAAGAAAAAUUUAAAUAAUUGAAAAAAAUAUUAAUGAA